rnacentral:rRNA from 1 species
AUGGCGAGGAAGGUGAGUGGCUGUCGGCGGCGUUGGGGGGAUCUGGCCGCUGGGCGACGUGAGACGCGCCUGCGGGUGAGACGCCGGUUGUACGGCGACGCGGCGGGGAGGUCAGGGAACGCAGCUGCCCGCCCUGCAGCGACUGAUGCAGCCGAGGCGUUUCGUCGAACACUUGCUGGGCAAAGACCCACACCGCUGACGGGCACGGGUCACGGCGAUCAAGCAGUUGACGGAGCCGCUCAAGCAGUUGGCACGGGCACGGGUCCUGAGGGAGAGAGACAGAUAUGCAGCCGAGGCCCAAAGGAUGCGCUGCUCCUCGUCAAAGCUAGUCACCACGCGGCCGCCUGUCCUGCUCACGCCCUGAAGGUGUUUGCGAGAAUGUCUCUGUUGCAGAGUAGUAUGCCGUGUCUGUCGGACACUUAUUUGCAGAAUGCACAACACCAUCAUUUCAUUUCAUUCCAUCGCAGAUAA